rnacentral:rRNA from 1 species
AGUGAACGCUGGCGGUAGGCCUAACACAUGCAAGUCGAACGGCAGCACAGUAAGAGCUUGCUCUUACGGGUGGCGAGUGGCGGACGGGUGAGGAAUACAUCGGAAUCUACUUUUUCGUGGGGGAUAACGUAGGGAGACUUACGCUAAUACCGCAUACGACCUACGGGUGAAAGCAGGGGAUCUUCGGACCUUGCGCGAUUGAAUGAGCCGAUGUCGGAUUAGCUAGUUGGCGGGGUAAAGGCCCACCAAGGCGACGAUCCGUAGCUGGUCUGAGAGGAUGAUCAGCCACACUGGAACUGAGACACGGUCCAGACUCCUACGGGAGGCAGCAGUGGGGAAUAUUGGACAAUGGGCGCAAGCCUGAUCCAGCCAUACCGCGUGGGUGAAGAAGGCCUUCGGGUUGUAAAGCCCUUUUGUUGGGAAAGAAAAGCAGCAGGUUAAUACCCCGCUGUUCUGACGGUACCCAAAGAAUAAGCGCCGGCUAACUUCGUG